rnacentral:piRNA from 1 species
UUGAUAAGGUUAAGAACCAACGCCGGUGU